AGUAUGUAGCUCAGUGCUUGAGUGUUUGCCUAGCAAGCAUGAGACUCUGGGUUCAAUCCUCAGCAACUA
rnacentral:tRNA from 1 species